GAGUUUGAUCCUGGCUCAGAUUGAACGCUGGCGGCAGGCCUAACACAUGCAAGUCGAGCGGAUGAAGGGAGCUUGCUCCUGGAUUCAGCGGUGGACGGGUGAGUAAUGCCUAGGAAUCUGCCUGGUAGUGGGGAUAACGUCCGGAAACGGGCGCUAAUACCGCAUACGUCCUGAGGGAGAAAGUGGGGGAUCUUCGGACCUCACGCUAUCAGAUGAGCCUAGGUCGGAUUAGCUAGUUGGUGGGGUAAAGGCCUACCAAGGCGACGAUCCGUAACUGGUCUGAGAGGAUGAUCAGUCACGCUGGAACUGAGACACGGUCCAGACUCCUACGGGAGGCAGCAGUGGGGAAUAUUGGACAAUGGGCGAAAGCCUGAUCCAGCCAUGCCGCGUGUGUGAAGAAGUCUUCGGAUUGUAAAGCACUUUAAGUUGGGUAGGAAGGGCGAGUAAGUUAAUACCUUGCUG
rnacentral:rRNA from 1 species